rnacentral:rRNA from 1 species
GACGAACGCUGGCGGCGUGCUUAACACAUGCAAGUCGAACGGAAAGGCCUUCUUUCCCUUGUGGUUUGCGGGUACUCGAGUGGCUAACGGGUGAGUAACACGUGCUUGAUCUGCCCCCAACUUUGGUAUAAUCCUGGGAAACUGGGUCUAAUUCCCGUUAUGACUGCAGGGUUGUGCCUUUUUUUGGAAACGAUUUUCUAUUGGUUGGGGUUGGGGUCGCGGCCUAUGAGCUGGGUGGUGGGGUAAUGGCCUACCAAGGCGGCGACGGGUAGCCGGCCUGAGAGGGUGGACGGACACAGUGGGACUGAGAUACGGGCCAGAGUCCUACGGGAGACAGCAGUGGGGAAUAGUGGACAAGGGGAGGAAGCAUGAUGCAGAGACGUGGCGUGGGGGAUGAGGGCCGUCGGGUUGGAAACUCCUGUCGAACGCGAGGAAGGCAAGUGGUGGGAAGGGUGGUGACGGUAGUGGGAGAAGAAGCACCGGCUAACUACGUG